rnacentral:rRNA from 1 species
CAGACGGGUGAGUAAUCCUGGGAAAGGACUAUCGGUACGGAAUAGCUCAGGGAAACUUGGGGUAAUACCGUUUACCCCUUCGGGGGAAAGAUUUAUCGCCGAUAGAUGAGCCCGCGUCUGAUUAGCUAGUUGGUGAGGUAAUGGCUCACCAAGGCGACGAUCAGUAGCUGGUCUGAGAGGAUGACCAGCCACACUGGGACUGAGACACGGCCCAGACUCCUACGGGAGGCAGCAGUGGG